CAGAUUGUCUAGGAGUGGUUAGCCAUUCCCUUGUAGAAAGGGGUGGUAUGAUGAUAUCAAUGUUUGAAGCAAUGUAUCUCAUGAUAGCAUUCGCAACACUCGUUGUUUUGAUCAUAAAUAGGAAAUAACCGCUUCCUAGGCUAAGGUCUGCGGUUAUUUCCUAAUAACUCUUACUUUAGGCCUAACCCUUCGGUUAGACAAUCUGCAGGGCUGGCGUGUGUCGAGCACGUCAG
rnacentral:sRNA from 1 species